UAUAAGCUGCGUUGUACGUAAUGCAUAAUUAAGUUUUAACCUUUAAACUGUAAUAGGGAGUUUUAUAUUGAAACCGGAAUGGCGGGCCUUUAUCACUGAUAGAGGAUAUACAGGAUCGUUUCUGCAAACACCCACUUUGAGGAGUGGUGGUUUAAAACUUUCUUAACGAAGCUACGGCAAGCGCGGCUUACAU
rnacentral:other from 2 species